UACGUAGGGGGCUAGCGUUGUCCGGAAUCAUUGGGCGUAAAGCGCGUGUAGGCGGCCCGGUAAGUCCGCUGUGAAAGUCCAGGGCUCAACCCUGGAAUGCCGGUGGAUACUGUCGGGCUCGAGUCCGGAAGAGGCGAGUGGAAUUCCUGGUGUAGCGGUGAAAUGCGCAGAUAUCAGGAGGAACACCGAUGGCGAAGGCAGCUCGCUGGGACGGUACUGACGCUGAGGCGCGACAGCGUGGGGAGCAAACAGGG
rnacentral:rRNA from 1 species